UAGUCCACGCCGUAAACGAUGUAUACUAGUUGUCAGGAAACAUAGUUUUUUGGUGACGCAGCUAACGCAAUAAGUAUACCGCCUGGGGAGUACGGUCGCAAGAUUAAAACUCAAAGGAAUUGACGGGGGCCCGCACAAGCGGUGGAGCAUGUGGUUUAAUUCGACGCAACGCGAAGAACCUUACCAGCCCUUGACAUCCUGAUCGGGAGGAGUAGAGAUACACCUUUUCAUUUAGUUGGAUCAGUGACAGGUGAUGCACGGCUGUCGUCAGCUCGUGUCGUGAGAUGUUAGGUUAAGUCCUGCAACGAGCGCAACCCCUAUUGUUAGUUGCCAUCAGGUAAUGCUGGGCACUUUAACGAGACUGCCGGUGAUGAGCCGGAGGAAGGCGGGGAUGACGUCAAGUCCUCAUGGCCCUUAUGGGCUGGGCUACACACGUGCUACAAUGGCGGUUACAGUGGGCAGCUACACAGUGAUGUGAUGCUAAUCUCCAAAAACCGUCU
rnacentral:rRNA from 1 species